AUUGAACGCUGGCGGCAGGCCUAACACAUGCAAGUCGAAUGGUAACAGGAAACAGCUUGCUGUUUCGCUGACGAGUGGCGGACGGGUGAGUAAUGUCUGGGAACCUGCCUGAUGGAGGGGGAUAACUACUGGAAACGGUAGCUAAUACCGCAUAACGUCGCAAGACCAAAGAGGGGGACCUUCGGGCCUCUUGCCAUCAGAUGUGCCCAGAUGGGAUUAGCUAGUAGGUGGGGUAACGGCUCACCUAGGCGACGAUCCCUAGCUGGUCUGAGAGGAUGACCAGCCACACUGGAACUGAGACACGGUCCAGACUCCUACGGGAGGCAGCAGUGGGGAAUAUUGCACAAUGGGCGCAAGCCUGAUGCAGCCAUGCCGCGUGUAUGAAGAAGGCCUUCGGGUUGUAAAGUACUUUCAGCGGGGAGGAAGGGAGUAAAGUUAAUACCUUUGCUCAUUGACGUUACCCGCAGAAGAAGCACCGGCUAACUCCGUG
rnacentral:rRNA from 1 species